rnacentral:rRNA from 1 species
UACAGAGGUCCCAAGCGUUGUUCGGAUUCACUGGGCGUAAAGGGUGCGUAGGUGGUGAGGUAAGUCGGAUGUGAAAGCUCGGAGCUCAACUCCGAAAUGGCAUUGGAAACUACCUUGCUCGAGGGUUGGAGGGGGGACUGGAAUGCUUGGUGUAGCAGUGAAAUGCGUAGAUAAUCAAGCGGAACACCAGUGGCGAAGGCGAGUCCCUGGAACAACUCCUGACACUGAGGCACGAAAGCUAGGGGAGCAAACAGG